CAACCUUCCGUACACUCAGGGAUAGCCUUUCGAAAGAAAGAUUAAUACCUGAUAGUAUCUUAAGCACACAUGUAAUUAAGAUUAAAGAUUUAUCGGUGUACGAUGGGGAUGCGUUCCAUUAGGUAGUAGGCGGGGUAACGGCCCACCUAGCCGACGAUGGAUAGGGGUUCUGAGAGGAAGAUCCCCCACAUUGGAACUGAGACACGGUCCAAACUCCUACGGGAGGCAGCAGUGAGGAAUAUUGGUCAAUGGACGAGAGUCUGAACCAGCCAAGUAGCGUGAAGGAUGAAGGUCCUACGGAUUGUAAACUUCUUUUAUAAGGGAAUAAACCCUCCCACGUGUGGGAGCUUGUAUGUACCUUAUGAAUAAGCAUCGGCUAACUCCGUGCCAGCAGCCGCGGUAAUACGGAGGAUGCGAGCGUUAUCCGGAUUUAUUGGGUUUAAAGGGAGCGCAGACGGGUCGUUAAGUCAGCUGUGAAAGUUUGGGGCUCAACCUUAAAAUUGCAGUUGAUACUGGCGUCCUUGAGUGCGGUUGAGGUGUGCGGAAUUCGUGGUGUAGCGGUGAAAUGCUUAGAUAUCACGAAGAACUCCGAUUG
rnacentral:rRNA from 1 species